rnacentral:rRNA from 1 species
GACGAACGCUGGCGGCGUGCUUAACACAUGCAAGUCGAACGGAAAGGCCCUGCUUUUGUGGGGUGCUCGAGUGGCGAACGGGUGAGUAACACGUGAGUAACCUGCCCUUGACUUUGGGAUAACUUCAGGAAACUGGGGCUAAUACCGGAUAGGAGCUCCUGCUGCAUGGUGGGGGUUGGAAAGUUUCGGCGGUUGGGGAUGGACUCGCGGCUUAUCAGCUUGUUGGUGGGGUAGUGGCUUACCAAGGCUUUGACGGGUAGCCGGCCUGAGAGGGUGAACGGCCACAAUGGGACUGAGGGACGCAGCAGUAGCCAACGGGAGGCAGCAGGGGGGAAUAUUACGCAGUGGGGGGAAGCCUGAUGAAGCAGCGCCGGGUGCGGAAUGACGGGCUUCGAGGUGUGAACAGCUUUCGACGGUGACGAAGCGUGAGUGACGGUAAUGGGUAAGGAAGCACCGGCUAACUACGUG